CCUACGGGAGGCAGCAGUGGGGAAUAUUGGGCAAUGGGCGAAAGCCUGACGCAGCGACGCCGCGUGAGGGAUGAAGGUCUUCGGAUCGUAAACCUCUAUCAGCAGGGAAGAACAUUCACUGUGCUGAUCAGCAAUGACUUGACGGUACCUUCAAAGGAAGCGCGGGCUAACUCAGUGCCAACGGCCGCGGUAAAACGGAGGGGGGGAGAGUUAGUGGGAAUUGCUGGGCGUAACGGGCUCGUAGGCGGUAUGUCAAGUCAAGGGUGAAAUGCCCGGGCUCAACGUGGGAACUGCCUUUGAAACUGGCAAACUGGAGUGCGGGAGAGGAUAGUGGAAUUCCAGGUGUAGGAGUGAAAUCCGUAGAUAUUGGGAGGAACACCAGUGGCGAAGGCGACUAUCUGGCAAAUAACUGACGCUGAGGAGCGAAAGCGUGGGGAGCAAACAGGAUUAGAUACCCCAGUAGUC
rnacentral:rRNA from 1 species